UAGCGUAGGGACCAAGCGUUGUUCGGAUUUACUGGGACGUAAGGGCGCGUAGGCGGCUUAACAAGUCACUUGUGAAAUCUCCGGGCUUAACUCGGAACGGCCAAGUGAAACUGUCGAAGCUAGAGUGCAGAAGGGGCAAUCGGAAUUCUUGGUGUAGCGGUGAAAUGCGUAGAUAUCAAGAGGAACACCUGAGGUGAAGACGGGUUGCUGGGCUGACACUGACGCUGAGGCGCGGAAAGCUAGGGUAGCAAACGGG
rnacentral:rRNA from 1 species